rnacentral:rRNA from 1 species
GAUGAACGCUGGCGGCGUGCCUAACACAUGCAAGUCGAGCGGAGAUUCAUGGAGUACUUGUACAAAGUGGAUCUUAGCGGCGGACGGGUGAGUAACACGUGAGCAAUCUGCCUUUCACUGGGGAAUAACACUGGGAAACCAGUGCUAAUACCGCAUAACGUCCUUGGGUGGCAUCACCUGGGGACCAAAGGAGAAAUUCGGUGAAAGAUGAGCUCGCGUCCGAUUAGGUAGUUGGUGAGGUAACGGCCCACCAAGCCUACGAUCGGUAGCCGGACUGAGAGGUUGAACGGCCACAUUGGGACUGAGACACGGCCCAGACUCCUACGGGAGGCAG